GGGCCAUAGCUCAGUGGAAGAGCCUCUGUCUUGCAAGCAGAAGGUCUCCGGUUCAUUUCCCAGCACAUCUCCA